rnacentral:rRNA from 1 species
CAUUGCUGGAACGCGCCCCAGGCGCACCCAGAAACCCUUUGUGAACUUAUACCUUACUGUUGCCUCGGCGCAUGCCGGCCCCCCUGGGGGCCCCUCCUUCUGGAGGAGCAGGCACGCCGGCGGCCAACCUAACUCUUGUUUUUACACUGAAACUCUGAGAAUAAAACAUAAAUGAAUCAAAACUUUCAACAACGGAUCUCUUGGUUCUGGCAUCGAUGAAGAACGCAGCGAAAUGCGAUAAGUAAUGUGAAUUGCAGAAUUCAGUGAAUCAUCGAAUCUUUGAACGCACAUUGCGCCCUCUGGUAUUCCGGAGGGCAUGCCUGUUCGAGCGUCAUUUCAACCCUCAAGCCUGGCUUGGUGAUGGGGCACUGCUUCUUACCCAAGAAGCAGGCCCUGAAAUUCAGUGGCGAGCUCGCCAGGACCCCGAGCGCAGUAGUUAAACCCUCGCUCUGGAAGGCCCUGGCGGUGCCCUGCCGUUAAACCCCCAACUUCUGAAAAUUUGACCU